rnacentral:rRNA from 1 species
CCUACGGGUGGCUGCAGUGAGGAAUAUUGGUCAAUGGGCGCGAGCCUGAACCAGCCAAGUCGCGUGAGGGAAGACGGUCCUGUGGAUUGUAAACCUCUUUUGUCGGGGAGCAAAAGCCGCCACGCGUCCCCUUCCGAGAGUACCCGAAGAAAAAGCAUCGGCUAACUCCGUGCCAGCAGCCGCGGUAAUACGGAGGAUGCGAGCGUUAUCCGGAUUUAUUGGGUUUAAAGGGUGCGCAGGCGGAAGAUCAAGGCAGCGGUAAAAUGGCGGGGCUCAACCUCUUCCAGCCGUUGAAACUGGUAGUCUUGAGUGGGUGAGAAGUAUGCGGAAGGCGAGGGGUAGCGGUGAAAUGCAUAGAUAUCACGCAGAACUCCGAUUGCGAAGGCAGCAUACCGGCGCCCAACGGACGCUCAUGCACGAAAGUGUGGGUAUCGAACAGGAUUAGAUACCCUUGUAGUC